UACGUAGGGGGCAAGCGUUAUCCGGAUUUACUGGGUGUAAAGGGAGCGUAGGCGGUCAGAUAAGUCAGGUGUGAAAACCCGGGGCUCAACUCCGGGACUGCACUUGAAACUGUAGGACUAGAGUACUGGAGAGGCAAGCGGAAUUCCUAGUGUAGCGGUGAAAUGCGUAGAUAUUAGGAAGAACACCGGUGGCGAAGGCGGCUUGCUGGACAGAGACUGACGCUGAGGCUCGAAAGCGUGGGGAGCAAAC
rnacentral:rRNA from 1 species